rnacentral:rRNA from 1 species
UUCGAAGGCGAUCAGAUACCGCCCUAGUUCUAACCAUAAACGAUGCCAGCCAGCGAUCCGGCUGUGUUCCUCAAAUGACACGCCGGGCAGCUUCCGGGAAACCAAAGCUUUUGGGUUCCGGGGGGAGUAUGGUUGCAAAGCUGAAACUUAAAGGAAUUGACGGAAGCGCACACAAGGAAUGGGGCCUGCGGCUUAAUUUGACUCAACACGGUGAAACUCACCCGGCCCAGACACAGGAAGGAUUGACAGAUUGAGAGCUCUUUCUUGAUUCUGUGACAGGUGGUGCAUGGCCGUUUCUAGUUGGUGGAGUGAUUUGUCUGCUUUAUUGCGAUAACGAGCGAGACUCUAGCCUACUAAAUAGACGUUCCGAUCCUUCUGAGUCGGACGUUCUUCUUAGAGGGACAAGCGGUGUUCAGCCGCACGAAACAGAGCAAUAA